rnacentral:rRNA from 1 species
GACGAAGGAUGCAAGCGUUAUCCGGAUUCAUUGGGUUAAAGGGAGCGUAGGUGGCCUUAUAAGUCAGUGGUGAAAUCUCUGGGCUUAACCCAGAAAUUGCCAUUGAUACUGUAGGGCUUUGAGUACAGUUGCUGUGGGCGGAAUAUGACAUGUAGUGGUGAAAUACAUAGAGAUGUCAUAGAACACCGAUUGCGAAGGCAGCUCACAAAACUGUAACUGACACUGAGGCUCGAAAGUGCGGGGAUCAAACAGG